rnacentral:rRNA from 1 species
GACGAACGCUGGCGGCGUGCUUAACACAUGCAAGUCGAACGGAAAGGCCCUGCUUGCAGGGUACUCGAGUGGCGAACGGGUGAGUAACACGUGGGUGAUCUGCCCUGCACUUCGGGAUAAGCCUGGGAACCUGGGUCUAAUACCGGAUAGGAGCCAUUUUUAUUGUGAUGGUUGGAAAGUUUUUUCGGUGUAGGAUGAGCUCGCGGCCUAUCAGCUUGUUGGUGGGGUAAUGGCCUACCAAGGCGGCGACGGGUAGCCGGCCUGAGAGGGUGGACGGCCAAAUUGGGAAUGAGAUACGGCCCAGACACCGACGGGAGGAAGAAGUGGGGAAUAUUGCAAAAUGGGCGCAAGCCUGAUGCAGCGAAGCCGCGUGGGGGAUGACGGCCUUCGGGUUGUAAACUCCUUUCGCUAGGGACGAAGCUUUUUGUGACGGUAACUAGAUAAGAAGCACCGGCUAACUACGUG